rnacentral:lncRNA from 1 species
UUCCUACCUACUCCAAUUCAAAUUAUUAUGAGAGACAAAAGAUUGAGAGAAGUAAGGGAGUGAAAGGUGGUAAUCCAAGAGUGAAAAAAGGAGAGGUUGUGUUGAGCGAAGUGAGGGAAUUACCACCAAACCGUGCUAACUUUGGUUGUCCUUCUAUUUCUAUGGACAUUUGUGUAGGUACCAACAUGGCAAGCGAAGGCGACCAAUGUCAAAAGGAAGUUGCUGCCCAAGCUUAUGGAUGACCUUCACCUCACGGCAAGAAAGAG